rnacentral:rRNA from 1 species
CUACGGGUUGCAGCAGUGGGGAAUAUUGGACAAUGGACCAAAAGUCUGAUCCAGCAAUUCUGUGUGUUUGAUGAAGGCCUUCGGGUUGUAAAGAACUUUAAGCAGGGAAGAAGAAAGUGACGGUACCUGCAGAAUAAGCGACGGCUAAAUACGUGCCAGCAGCCGCGGUAAUACGUAUGUCGCAAGCGUUAUCCGGAAUUAUUGGGCAUAAAGGGCGUCUAGGCGGUCUAGUAAGUCUGAUGUGAAAAUGCGGGGCUCAACUCCGUAUUGCGUUGGAAACUACUAGACUAGAGUUUUGGAGAGGUAGGCGGAACUACAAGUGUAGAGGUGAAAUUCGUAGAGAUUUGUAGGAAUGCCGAUGACGAAGGUAGCUUACUGGACAAAUACUGACGCUGAAGCGCGAAAGCUAGGGGAGCAAACAGGAUUAGAUACCCCGGUAGUC